AUUUCUAUUACAGUACCUAAGAUUUUCCAUGUUGGCCAGGUGUACUGUACUGUUGAUACAGGUGUCUGUAUUUCAGUUAUCAGUUCUGCUUCUGCAAUGGUUGUCUUGUUAUUACUGAUGUGUUAAGCCAGAGUUCUUCGUAUGUAUUUCAUAUUUAUUUACCUCCUGACUAGUGCUCAUCACGUUUACCACAUACAUGGCUAGUUUAUAAUAUAAUCUGAUUUGAGAUAAAAACAUUAAUUCUGCAAUUAAGUUUUCUCUAGAAUAAAUGGCAUCAGAGAGCUCACAAACACAUAGAUUAAAUUAAUAUCUGCCAAGGCACAGAGCCAACAUUUGUUCAGUUUAGUGGCACUUAUUUUAAUCAGAAGAUGGGGAUACAAUGAUUCUUCCAUAUGAUGUUGGAUGAAUCUUAAGUAGGAAUCUUAGGAACAAUUGAGAACCUUAACUAAAAUCUGUUUCCAUAAAGUAAAAGUGACUAAUGAGCUUAUUUCUCUCUUCUUUUCCUUUCUAGAGAAUCUGCAUUCAGUUCAGAUUUGCUGGUUAAACUUGCACAAAGCUACAGACCACAGUAAUUCAUGAAAGAAAUGAAGUACCGCAAUUGGAUGUGGACUGGUGCAGCCCUCGCAGCCUCGCAGCGAUGGCAAGUGAUUGAUAUUAGGCUGAACACGUGGCCCAGGGUCAUUUCCAGAGAUGUUCUUUUUCUCUUCCUCCAAGGGAAGAUGAGAUUUGUAAGCAAUCUGAAUUCAGGCUACUUGCAAAGGAAGCGUCAGUGCGAGACACUGGACUUCAGUAGCACCAUUACUUCAAGCACUUCUAGAAUCUUUCAGUUCAGCUUGAUGAGUUAUACACAGUGGAGGAGCUCCAUCCACAGAGGGCCCAGUCUGCCAUACCAGAACAGUCCCUCGGCGCGCUGUCACACAGCCGCAGGAGCGUUCAUUCCUGUGAGCCUGAUGCGGGCACAAUCUGAUUUGAAGGCAGGUCUCCCACUUCCCAUGAGGAUAGCAUGAGCACGAGACAAUUUGCUGUGCCUACCCUUUCAAAAGCGUAGAUCCUCCCAGGUCGCCAUACUGCUGCAUUUGAAGGAAAGGGUGAGCAGAAACUGUCACAACCUCUGUCCAUGGAGACAGAUGAUGUGGCUAAGGUACGCCUAUCUGCAUUUGUUGCAGAGCUCGCUCUACGAGCAUAGUUUAUGAAUGUGAUCAUCUUAUAAAUGAAUUUGCAACAGAAGACGGAAUUAUGGAAUAUUAACAAACGACAACAACAAACUCGUUACUCGUUUCCAGUAGGCAUACCCAGCGGAUCUGCGCAAACACGGCGCCAGCUGCAAAGCGCUGUCAAAGCACCAAGGCCGUCUGGCCGCGUGCGGCCAGGAGGGUCCGGGGCGCCGCCCCCCCGCCGCCUCCCCUGCCCGCCUGCCGACGCAGGAGGGCGCCCUUUGCACGAGCAAUUACACCCAGGGCAGCAGGUUGACCAGCAUUUCCCGAAGAAAACAUUUCUCUCUUUGAAUCCCGAUGCUCCUAAGGAGCAUUUGUUUCACAGCUCGGGCGUUAGAUGCGCUGCUCUACCAUUAGUUACUGAACAACAGUAACGCCAAUUUGCCUAAAGACCGUAGGUCUUUGCCGGAAAAGGACCUCACAAAUAAGUGUUUAUUAUACAUACAAUUUAAAGGGAAGCUUCGCAACGACUGAUGAGAAGUGUGACUAACUUCUUAGGGGCUUGUGCUUGUUUUGUUAAGAGUUACUGUUGAUAGAAACUUCACAUAUUUAUAUGUGGAAAUCUAAUUUCACUCUAGCAGUGCUUCACCUUCAAAAAUAAAGCGUGCAGCUACCAGAUGCA
rnacentral:lncRNA from 1 species